GCAGUGCACAGCAAAGCUCAAGACGUCCUCUUAAAUAUGCACAGCUUAGUGGGGCCGUGACACGAGCAGGCCUUACCCAGCAGCAGUGUUGGCAGCACUGAAGGGCUGCUAUGAUAGAGCCUUAUGAGGCAUCACGGGCAGCGCGGAGAUCCAGGCAGAAGCUGGACCAGCCGGAGUAAGAGCAGAAAAGAGCAUUCCCAGUCCUGCAGGAAUCAGCCUUUAUGGGGCCGAGCAAGCAGAGCUGAUGGGAUAGGACAGCUUCAUUGAGAAAACGAGGAGAAAAAAAAUCCUUCUCGGACUCAGUCUUUUGGAGGCUACUGAAGGCUGUUGACACCACUGAAGUGCUGUUGAGGGCUGGAGGAGAGUACUAGGGAGGGGAGAUCAGCAGAGUUAAGCCAACAGUCUGGCCCAUGCUGGGGAAACUGGUGUCUGUGGGAGCUUCUGCUGCAUGGCACAUGCAGGUCCCUCUCCUGGAGUUUGCUUUGCUCCUGCAACCAUUCCUCAUACUGAUCUGC
ensembl:lncRNA